GGAGUUAGCCGGUGCUUCUUCUGUGAGUGAUGUCCUUCCUGCCGGCUAUUAACCCGCAGGCCUUCUUCCUCACUGAAAGUGCUUUACAACCCGAAGGCCUUCUUCACACACGCGGCAUGGCUGGAUCAGGGUUGCCCCCAUUGUCCAAUAUUCCCCACUGCUGCCUCCCGUAGGAGUCUGGGCCGUGUCUCAGUCCCAGUGUGGCUGAUCAUCCUCUCAGACCAGCUACGGAUCGUCGCCUUGGUGAGCCGUUACCUCACCAACCAGCUAAUCCGACAUAGGCUCAUCCGAUAGCGCGAGGCCCGAAGGUCCCCCGCUUUCCCCCGUAGGGCGUAUGCGGUAUUAGCCUGGGUUUCCCCAGGUUAUCCCCCACUACCGGGCAGAUUCCUAUGCAUUACUCACCCGUCCGCCGCUCGCCACCAGGGAGCAAGCUCCCCGUGCUGCCGCUCGACUUGCAUGUGUAGCGUCGCCGCCACGCGUCAUCUGAGCAUAAUACAACUACUGA
rnacentral:rRNA from 1 species